rnacentral:rRNA from 1 species
AUUGAACGCUGGCGGCAUGCCUUACACAUGCAAGUCGAACGGCAGCACGGGAGCAAUCCUGGUGGCGAGUGGCGAACGGGUGAGUAAAGUAUCGGAACGUGCCCAGUCGUGGGGGAUAACGUAGCGAAAGUUACGCUAAUACCGCAUACGAUCUAUGGAUGAAAGCGGGGGAUCGCAAGACCUCGCGCGAUUGGAGUGGCCGAUAUCAGAUUAGGUAGUUGGUGGGGUAAAGGCUCACCAAGCCGACGAGCUGUAGCUGGUCUGAGAGGACGACCAGCCACACUGGGACUGAGACACGGCCCUGACUCCUACGGGAGGCAGCAGGGGGGAAUUUUGGACAAUGGGCGAAAGCCUGAUCCAGCCAUGCCGCGUGCAGGAUGAAGGCCUUCGGGUUGUAAACUGCUUUUGUACGGAACGAAAAGGUUUGGCCUAAUAAGCUGAGCUCAUGACGGUACCGUAAGAAUAAGCACCGGCUAACUACGUGCCAGCCGCCGCCGUAA